rnacentral:rRNA from 1 species
GCCUACGGGGGGCAGCAGUGGGGAAUAUUGCACAAUGGGGGAAACCCUGAUGCAGCGACGCCGCGUGAGUGAAGAAGUAUCUCGGUAUGUAAAGCUCUAUCAGCAGGAAAGAUAAUGACGGUACCUGACUAAGAAGCCCCGGCUAACUACGUGCCAGCAGCCGCGGUAAUACGUAGGGGGCAAGCGUUAUCCGGAUUUACUGGGUGUAAAGGGAGCGUAGACGGCGAUGCAAGUCUGAAGUGAAAGGCGGGGGCCCAACCCCCGGACUGCUUUGGAAACUGUAUGGCUGGAGUGCAGGAGGGGUG